AAAAAGUUUUAUUUAUCCUUAAUAAUUGGAUUUUAUUUAAAUUUAAAUGUAAGUUUUUGCGGGUCUAAAUUAUUAAAAAAUUUAUUUUUGCAAUAAAUAGUAUUAAAUAUUAAAGAAAUUUUGAUUUAGCUAUAAUAAAAAAACAUUAACAAAAUUUGUGCCAGCAGUUGCGGUUAUACAAAUAAUGUAAUUCAAUUUUAUUAGCAUUAAUUAAUUUAUAAUAGAAUAAUUAUUAUAAAAACUUUAAAAGGUGAAAUUUAAAAGUUUUAUUUAUAUUAUUAAUUUUUAAUGAAGUUAAAAAAUUUAUUUUAUAAACUAGGAUUAGAUACCCUAUUAUUUUAAAUGUAAUUUUAAAAGCUAAAUUAGUAUUAGUUAUGUUCUUGAAAAUUAAAGAUUUUGGCGGUAUUUUAGUCUAUUCAGAGGAAUCUGUUCUGUAAUCGAUAAUCCACGAUUUAAUUUACUUUGUUUAUUAAUUUACAUAUCGUCGUAAUUUGAAUAUUUUAUAAGAAUUUUAAUAUUCAAGAAUUUUUAUAAAAAAAUAAAUCAGAUCAAGGUGUAGUUUAUGAUAAAGAAGAAAUGGGUUACAAUAAAUAUAAUUUAAGAUUAUUAUUUUUAAAAUAAUAUGAAUUUGGAUUUGAGAGUAAUUUUAAUUAAUUUGUUAAUUUGAUUUUAGCUCUAAAAUAUGCACAUAUCGCCCGUCGCUUUCAUUAUAAUAUGAGAUAAGUCGUAACAAAGUAGAUUUACUGGAAAGUGAAUCUAGAAAGUU
rnacentral:ncRNA from 1 species